AACGCACAUUGCGCCCUCUGGUAUUCCGGGGGGCACGCCCGUUCGAGCGUCAUUACACCAAUCAAGCCUGGCUUGGUAUUGGGGCACGGGGGAGACCCGGCCCUCAAUGUCUUCGGCAGGAGCGCCCCGAUCGCAGCGUUGUGGCAUACAUUCUCGCUGGUGAGACGGGUGGUUCGCGCCGUAAACUCCAUCAAAGGUUGACCUCGGAUCGGGUGAGGAUACCCGCUGAACUUAA
rnacentral:misc_RNA from 1 species